AGCAAAAUGAUGAGGUUCUAAUAUCGGAAUAUCAGGUAGAAUCCCAUAUCAUAUUGGUCUUCAAAAGUUCUCUGAUUGCU